rnacentral:rRNA from 1 species
CAGUAGCCACGGGAAAACGGAGGGUGCAAGCGUUAAUCGGAAUUACUGGGCGUAAAGCGUGCGUAGGCGGUUCAUUAAGUCUGUUGUGAAAGCCCCGGGCUCAACCUGGGAAUGGCAAUGGAUACUGGCGAGCUAGAGUGUGUCAGAGGAUGGUGGAAUUCCCGGUGUAGCGGUGAAAUGCGUAGAGAUCGGGAGGAACAUCAGCGGCGAAGGCGGCCAUCUGGGACAACACUGACGCUGAGGCACGAAAGCGUGGGGAGCAAACAGGAUUAGAUACCCCAGUAGUCCCUGUCUCUUAUAC